UACGUAGGGUGCAAGCGUUAAUCGGAAUUACUGGGCGUAAAGCGUGCGCAGGCGGUUAUGUAAGACAGAUGUGAAAUGCCCGGGCUUAACCUGGGAACUGCAUUUGUGACUGCAUGGCUAGAGUGUGUCAGAGGGGGGUAGAAUUCCACGUGUAGCAGUGAAAUGCGUAGAGAUGUGGAGGAACACCGAUGGCGAAGGCAGCCCCCCUGGGUCGAGAUUGACGCUCAUGCACGAAAGCGUGGGGAGCAAACAGG
rnacentral:rRNA from 1 species